AAAGCCAGUGGAAGGUCGAUGGGUGAUCAAGAAGACCUAUGGCCUAGACAAGUGGCUCACAUUACACUUGGUGAGUGCGCUGGUCUACCAUCUUUCUAAGUGGGAGAGUGGACGUCAUAAUUUGUGGUAGAGGGGUACGCGUUCAUGCGGCCCCUA
rfam:Zea mays cultivar B73 chromosome 1, whole genome shotgun sequence.